rnacentral:rRNA from 1 species
CCUACGGGAGGCAGCAGUGGGGAAUAUUGGGCAAUGGGCGCAAGCCUGACCCAGCAACGCCGCGUGAAGGAAGAAGGCUUUCGGGUUGUAAACUUCUUUUCUCAGGGACGAAGAAAGUGACGGUACCUGAGGAGUAAGCCACGGCUAACUACGUGACAGCAGCCGCGGUACUCCGUAGGAGGCAAGCGUUAUCCGGAUUUAUUGGGUGUAAAGGGGGUGUAGGCGGGUGUGCAAGUCAGAUGGGAAAACUCAGGGCUCAACCCUGGGCCUGCAUUUGAAACUGUGUUUCUUGAGUGCUGGAGAGGCAAUCGGAAUUCCGUGUGGAGCGGUGAAAUGCGUAGAUAUACGGAGGAACACCAGUGGCGAAGGCGGAUUGCUGGACAGUAACUGACGCUGAGGCGCGAAAGCGUGGGGAGCAAACAGGAUUAGAUACCCGGGUAGUC